UGAGCCGGACGUGAUUCGAACAUGCAACCUUCUGAUCUGGAGUCAGACCGGCUACCACUGCGCCACCAGCCC